UUUAUGGAGAGUUUGAUCCUGGCUCAGGAUGAACGCUGGCGGCGUGCCUAAUACAUGCAAGUCGAGCGGACGGACGAGAAGCUUGCUUCUCUGAUGUUAGCGGCGGACGGGUGAGUAA
rnacentral:rRNA from 1 species